rnacentral:tRNA from 2 species
GCCUGGGUAGCUCAGGUGGUAGAGCAGGGGACUGAAAAUCCCCGUGUCGGGGGUUCGACUCCCUCCCCAGGCACCA